AUUGAACGCUGGCGGCAGGCUUAACACAUGCAAGUCGAGCGGAGAUGAGGUGCUUGCACCUUAUCUUAGCGGCGGACGGGUGAGUAAUGCUUAGGAAUCUGCCUAUUAGUGGGGGACAACAUUCCGAAAGGAAUGCUAAUACCGCAUACGCCCUACGGGGGAAAGCAGGGGAUCUUCGGACCUUGCGCUAAUAGAUGAGCCUAAGUCGGAUUAGCUAGUUGGUGGGGUAAAGGCCUACCAAGGCGACGAUCUGUAGCGGGUCUGAGAGGAUGAUCCGCCACACUGGGACUGAGACAUGGCCCAGACUCCUACGGGAGGCAGCAGUGGGGAAUAUCGGACAAUGGGCGGAAGCCUGAUCCAGCCAUGCCGUGUGUGUGAAGAAGGCCUUUUGGUUGUAAAGCACUUUAAGCGAGGAGGAGGCUACCUGGAUUAAUACUCUAGGAUAGUGGACGUUACUCGCAGAAUAAGCACCGGCUAACUCUGUGCCAGCAGCCGCGGUAAUAC
rnacentral:rRNA from 1 species